AAUUCAAACUUGGCAAACGGCCAGGACUCAAGCAUUUCGAUCGGCAUUCAUGUUUUUCCUUUGAAAAGAUUAAAUUCUUGUUAGUCUGGUUUAGAUGAAGGUAUUAAGUGUCAAGGAAUGAACCUCAUUUCGUUGGCACUUGAAUACCAUCAUCUAAAGCAAGCCUAACAAAAAUUUAUUAUUUUCAAAGGAAAACAUGAAUGUCGGGCGAAAUGCUUGAGUCCUGUUGUUUGGCAAGUUUGAAUU
rnacentral:pre_miRNA from 1 species